GACGAACGCUGGCGGCGUGCUUAACACAUGCAAGUCGAGCGGUAAGGCCCUUCGGGGUACACGAGCGGCGAACGGGUGAGUAACACGUGAGCAAUCUGCCCUGCACAUCGGGAUAACCCCCGGAAACGGGAGCUAAUACCGGAUACGACCACUUCAGGCAUCUGAUGGUGGUGGAAAGUUCCGGCGGUGCAGGAUGAGCUCGCGGCCUAUCAGCUUGUUGGUGGGGUAAUGGCCCAACAAGGCUUCGACGGGUAGCCGGCCUGAGAGGGUGACCGGACACACUGGGACUGAGACACGGCCCAGACUCCUACGGGAGGCAGCAGUGGGGAAUAUUGGACAAUGGGCGAAAGCCUGAUCCAGAAACGCCGCGUGAGGGAUGACGGCCUUCGGGUUGUAAACCUCUUUCAGCAGGGACGAAGCGCAAGUGACGGUACCUGCAGAAGAAGCACCGGCCAACUACGUGCCAGCAGCCGCCGUAACAC
rnacentral:rRNA from 1 species